rnacentral:rRNA from 1 species
CGAAGGAUGCAAGCGUUAUCCGGAUUCAUUGGGUUUAAAGGGUGCGUAGGCGGACUGAUAAGUCAGUGGUGAAAUCUCUUUGCUUAACAAAGAAACUGCCAUUGAUACUGUCGGUCUAGAGUAUAGAUGACGUUGGCGGAAUAUGACAUGUAGUGGUGAAAUACUUAGAUAUGUCAUAGAACACCGAUUGCGAAGGCAGCUAACGAAACUAUAACUGACGCUGAGGCACGAAAGUGCGGGGAUCAAACAGGAUUAGAUACCCUGGUAGUCCGCACCGUAAACGAUGAUUACUCGUUGUUGGCGAUAUGACAGUCAGCGGCCAAGCGAAAGCGAUAAGUAAUCCACCUGGGGAGUACGCCGGCAACGGUG